CAGCUAUACAAACUCCAAAAUAUUGAAAGAACUAAUGUGGAAAACUUACGCAUACACACCGUGCCACCGAUAACACGUUUACAAUCGCCGUUAGCGCUGUUGUGUAAUUACAGGUGAUUCAAUGUUCAUAUGAAGUUUGAUCUCCAUAUGUCAAUUAGUAUGUGUUUGGCAGCUGUUUGUUGACGACGUGAAGUUAAAAUUGAACAACGGUUUGCUUGAAAAACAUUCAAUGAAGGUCGUGACGUCAUCGAAGAUUUGCUUCAUACCAGUGGUUCAUCCACUUCUGCUAUAGUCGAUAACAUCGAAAAAAUGUAAGAAAUAGUGCUUAAAAGUCGUUGUGUUGGCACCAGAGGCUUUCAACAUCUCUUAUAGAUCGACUCCAAAAAUUUUGGUUAAUGUUUUGGGUAUGGUGUGCAUUCAAUGACAGACUGGUACGAAAAUACCUGAAUCUUUUGCGAAAACCACGUGGAGAAGAGGCUGAAGACCUUACAUUAUUCAAACACAUCGUUGCUGGUGUCGAGUCUAGUGAGUAGAGGGAAUGACGCGGCAAAAAUUAGCGCAAGCCGAAAAAAAACAAAAUUCGUUGAAGGCCAUCUCAACCAGGACAUUAAACAAGUGUAUGGAAAAUAAUAGCAGUGUUACUCGCUCGAGAGUCUAUAUUGAAGGCGACAAUAAAGAUUUGUACCUAAAUACGGUUUUUUUGUCAGUCCAGGUGAACUUUAAUCAAAUGGUAUUAUUAAUAUAUGAUUGAUUUUUUUA